rnacentral:lncRNA from 1 species
GACUAAGAGUGGCCUUCACUCUUGGAAAAUGAACUCCCCCCUGUAUUUUUAUCUGAUUGGUUUUGGUGAAGGAUUUGCGGUGCUGUGCCUUUAAUAUAGCUAAACUCAUUUCCUAGCUAAACUUCAGGCACUUCAAUCCUGUUGCAAUUAUUAAAUUGUAAUGUGAAAAUUCAAGAGCGUGGAUAAAUGAGUCUGUAGAGAAUCUUAAACUUGUUAAUUUUGUGGUCAUCAGUGCGCCUGUGUUCAUAUUUCAGCUGGCUUAAGUAUUUUCAAAGAAAGGGCACAGCAUUUAUUACAAGUUGAAAAUUGGCUUUGGAACCCAACAUGAAUGGAAUUGGAGUUAGCAUCCUCAAGAUGAGGAGUAAAAUGGGGAGUUCAUCAAAGAGAAAUCAUCCCGCUAAGCACUCAGUUUCACUUAAAGUUCUGAUGCCAAUUCACCCUUAAAAAGAAAAGCAAAAGCCAGACGUGGUAGCACAUAACACGCAGCAACCAGGCCCUGGAUGAUUGGAAGCUCAAAGCCUGCAUGGCUAUACAACAAGACCAUGCAGGGACAAAACAAAGAGAAGAGGAGGAGGAGAGGGAAGACAGAAGGUAGAGAAGGAUGGUGAUGAUGACGAUGGUGGUGAUGAUGAUGGUGAUGACGAUGGCCAAUCAUGGGGGUUAGAAAAGUCUGUGUAUAUUUUCCCCACAUGUGUAACACACUGCUGGCCAUCCACACCCCUUCUUGGAUGCACUCUACCUAUAUAUCCCUGACACCAGGGUUUAGGUGAUGACAGUCUAGGCUGAAACUUUCCCAGAAAAUCAAUUAACAACCAGUGUUUUCAUAUGUGUCAGGAGAUUCCAUACUCCAAAAGGGGCUGGAGGUUAAUCGUGCUUAAUAAACAUUUGAGUGGAAUUACUGUUUCCCUAGACAAAAAAAAAAAAUGGAAAAUCGCCCUGUAUUUUUCACCAGCACCAACUCAUAAAUAAAAAUUUUGAUGACAUUGGCAAGAACUUAAUUGCUUCCCUGGUAACCCUGCCUUAUGUAGCCAGUCAAGAUGCCCGCCAUCUGAAGAGUGGACAAAAGCGAAGCUUUCUUCUGCAGCUGUGUAAACAGCUUGUAACUUGAACUAUUUGAAUAGCCCUUGUUCCUUUUCUUGAUUCAAGCAUUGAACAUUGAGAGCUCUAGGCUUAGAAACAAAUGUGGGUUCAUAUGGACAGUGAAGGAUUAGACAUCAUUUCUUUCCUCAGGGAGCCACCAUCUAGGGAGAUGUCACACAUAACAGAGGAAGGAAUAGCAGAUGUCAUUUCCACAUGAGGCUGAAAACACCGAGUUGUUCAUCGCUUCACCGCUGAAGGUUUUUGUUGUUGUUUGUUGACUCUAAUCCUUUAAUUAUGUGAAUCCAUGAGAUUUUGAUUAAUAAUUAAUGUCCCUCAAACAAAGGAAAUCAAAAACUAUAAUGAAAAAGAGCUUCUGGAGAAUAUUUAGUGCCAUUGUUAUUAUUAUCUAGUUCGUUUUCACAUUAAUCCAACAACUCUUUUUGAACACCUAGUAGGACUACAUCAUUACUUUUCCCAUCACUGUCACCGUAGCAAAGCACCUGAGAGAUGCUCUUGAGGAUCAGUCUCAAGACUGAUCUUGGUUCCCAGUUUCAGUCAGUUCAGCCCAUACUUGCUGGGCCUCUUGUUUUUAUGUAGAACGUCGUGAUGACAGGAGGGUGUGUCCAAGGAGGUUCUUCACAGCAAACAGAAAUCAGAGAAAGGAAUCUGGGGCAGGCAUAACCCUCAAAACAUGCCCCUAGGAACACACUUUCUCUAGGUAUACCAGAUGUCCUAAGACUUCUUCCACUCCCCCAGAUGACUCCUUCCCCCAGAGAUGAGCCAUUCAAUAUGCAAGCCAAUGGAAGCAUUUUAUAUUCAAACUCUAACUUCGUGAAAGACAUUGUAUCGAAUUGCAUUGUGAUGAACUACAUGGACACAAUAGUUACCAUGUAGAAGUCAAAUAAAUUAAUGAAAGC